UACAGAGACUGCAAGCGUUAUUCGGAUUCACUGGGCGUAAAGGGUGUGCAGGCGGUUGGGUGUGUCAGAUGUGAAAUCCCGAGGCUCAACCUCGGAACUGCGUCUGAAACUACUCGACUAGAGUACUGGAGAGGGUAACGGAAUUCACGGUGUAGCAGUGAAAUGCGUAGAUAUCGUGAGGAACACCAGAGGCGAAGGCGGUUACCUGGACAGUUACUGACGCUCAGGCACGAAAGCAUGGGGAGCAAAAGGG
rnacentral:rRNA from 1 species